UAAAUUGUCUCGUGAAUCGUUGUUGUCAUCAUUAUGGGAUUUUAGUCGUCGUAGGAGUGUUGGUGGAUGAGGUUUCUUUGUGUCAUCAACGAACGGAGCCUCUUGGAUCAUUGAAGAUGCAAAAUUAUCAGUAGAUAAUGAGACAUCUUCAUUCUCAAUCACUGAUAAACGGAUAACAGGUUCGAGGGUGUGUUUCCAAAUCAAAAGAUUCUACUUGAAAAGGAACUGUGACAGAAAUCGUAACAUGGGUUUGGUUUGGGUAGAGCUCCCUUGGGUUUGGGUUUGACAAUUCCCGAGUUUCGGCCCACUAGGAAACCCCAAAACGGCAAAGAACUCAAAAUUUGCCCCGUCAAGCCAGCAGCACCGCAACCGCAAUGCCUCGUCGGAGCUAAGCUGACAUGAAGAACAAAACAACCUCUUUUUUCCUGUUCAAAUUCUCACAUGGUUUCUCUCUCCAAUGCCCCCACUCUCUCCCCCACUUCGUCCAAAUCCCAGGAACCGCUUCUCCAAAAAACCCCCUUGUAUUGUGAAAUCCUUUCUCAGUCUCACUUCUCAAGGCCAGCUUGCUCAAGCAAUCUCUUCUCUCGAGCUCUUAACAAGAAAAGGCAUUCGCUUACCCAUUCAAACUCUAGUUUCUCUCUUACAACAAUGCGCAAAAACCAAGUCUCUCAAAGACGGCAAAUUUCUACACCUUCAUUUGAAACUAACCGGACUCAAAAAGCCCAACACCUUUUUAUCCAAUCAUUUGAUCAAUAUGUAUUCUAAUUGUGGAGAUUAUAUCGGUGCUCGCAAAGUGUUCGAUAAAAUGGGUGCUAGAAAUUUAUAUUCUUUUAAUAAUAUGUUGUCUGGAUAUGCGAAAUUGGGCAUGAUAAAGCCUGCUCGGAAAUUGUUUGAUCAAAUGCCUGAAAGGGAUGUCGUUUCAUGGAAUACAAUGGUGAUUGCUUAUGCGCAAAGCGGGUUUUUUGAGGAAGCGUUGAGGUUUUAUAAGAAGUUAAGGGAUUUGUGUAUUGGAUACAAUGAGUUUAGUUUUGCUGGUGUUUUGACUGUUUGUGUUAAGUUGAGAGAAUUGCAACUCACUAGACAGGUUCAUGGGCAGGUUUUCGUUUCUGGUUUUUUGUCAAAUGUGGUGAUUUCCAGCUCUAUUGUUGAUGGUUAUGUGAAAUGCGGGAUGGUGGGGGAGGCUAGGAGGUUAUUUGAUGAUAUGAAAGUGAGGGAUGUUCUUGCUUGGACGACUUUGGUUUCGGGGCAUGCUCAAUGGGGAGAUAUGGAAUCAGCUAAUGAUUUGUUUGAUAAGAUGCCUGAGAAAAAUCCGGUUUCCUGGACAGCUUUGAUUUCGGGGUAUGCUAGAAAUGGUAUGGGGAAUAAGGCACUUGAAUUGUUUACAAGGAUGAUGCUGUGUCGAGUUAGACCUGAUCAGUUUACCUUUAGUAGUUGUCUUUGUGCUUGUGCUAGUGUAGCUUCACUUACUCAUGGUAAACAAAUACAUGCUUAUUUGAUACGAACUAAUUUUAGGCCAAACAUGAUAGUCAUCAGUUCUCUCAUUGACAUGUAUUCAAAAUGCGGUAGUCUCAAAUUUGGCAAACGAAUUUUUUAUCUUACCAAUAAUAAGCAGGAUCCUGUAUUGUGGAACACAAUGAUUUCUGCAUUGGCACAGCAUGGGCACGGUGAGGAGGCAGUGAAAAUGUUUGAUGACAUGGUAAAACAAGGGGUGAAGCCAGAUAGGACCACUUUUGUUGUUAUUGUUAAUGCAUGUAGCCACUCUGGUCUUGUUCAGGAAGGGCUUAGGUUUUUUGAAUGUAUUUCUUCUGAUCACGGCAUAAUUCCCGAUCAACAGCAUUAUGCAUGUUUAAUUGAUCUCUUAGGUCGAGCUGGUUUCUUUGACCAGUUGAUGAACCAUCUGGAGAAGAUGCCAUGCAAGCCUGAUAGCCGGGUUUGGAAUGCACUGCUCGGUGUUUCUAGAAUCCAUGGAAAUAUAGAAUUGGGAAGAAGAGCAGCUGAACAACUUAUUGAGUUGGAGCCUCAGUCCUCUGCAGCAUAUGUAUUGCUUUCAAGUAUAUAUGGCACACUUGGGAAAUGGGAAUCGGUUGAGAAGGUUGAGUUCUGGGCAAAAAAUUAUGUUCGGGCACAGUUAAACCCAAAUCGCUAUGCAAAGCAGAGAUUCACUGGAAGAAGUUCCUAUUUGCCUUUAGAUCUUUCUAUGCAUCUGUUUCUGUCAUUUCUAGCUAUAAAUUUCUUAGCUCCGUGAUUUAAAUAUCAUUAUUUUCACAUUCCUUGUUAUGGUGUAUAUCAGAGGAUUAAGACUCUUUAUUAUGAAGUCAAACAAGCUGAAUUAACUGCAGGAUUGACUCUUGAGCUCUUGCAGAAGCCUGGUUCCAGAUUACCAAUUUUAAGGUGCUGCGUGCGUAUUGAUUUUCCAACAAGUAGUAUCAGGCGAGGAGAGAUCAUGAAGUACCGGAUUAUUGGUUAAUAGAGAAUCAAAGUCGAUGUACCAAUGAAUGACGAAAUGCUAUGGUUCUUAAAUAUGAUUUUGAAAUUUAUUCAGAAGUAAUUCGCGGGAUCAUGCACUCUUUUCUUUCCUAGUUAUAAUGAAAAAAAGUGCAACUGGGUGAAUCCAACCUAUUCUUGAAAUAAACUCGCAAACACUUUCUUUCCAAAAAAGAUCAAUACACCAAGGACUACACUUAGAUUUAUUGGAUUUGUUGCUAAAAUAUCGGUAUUAAAUCCGAAACUCCCGGCGGAUGGCCAGUGACCCAAGGAAAGGAAAGAAUCGGUUACAUUUUUCAUAUGAUCUCCUAUUUUAUUAU